rnacentral:rRNA from 1 species
UACGGGGGGGCAAGCGUUGUCCGGAAUCACUGGGCGUAAAGGGCGCGUAGGUGGCGACCCAAGUCGAUGGUGAAAGCUCGCCGCUCAACGGCGAGUCGGCCACCGAUACUGGGUUGCUGGAGCACUGUAGAGGCUCAUGGAAUUCCGGGUGUAGCGGUGGAAUGCGUAGAGAUCCGGAAGAACACCGGUGGCGAAGGCGGUGAGCUGGGCAGUUGCUGACACUGAGGCGCGACAGCGUGGGGAGCAAACAGGG